AUUGAACGCUGGCGGCAUGCUUUACACAUGCAAGUCGAACGGUAACAGGUUAAGCUGACGAGUGGCGAACGGGUGAGUAAUGCAUCGGAACGUGCCCGAUCGUGGGGGAUAACGCAGCGAAAGCUGCGCUAAUACCGCAUACGAUCUGAGGAUGAAAGCUGGGGACCGUAAGGCCUCGCGCGAUCGGAGCGGCCGAUGUCAGAUUAGGUAGUUGGUGGGGUAAAGGCUCACCAAGCCGACGAUCUGUAGCUGGUCUGAGAGGACGACCAGCCACACUGGGACUGAGACACGGCCCAGACUCCUACGGGAGGCAGCAGUGGGGAAUUUUGGACAAUGGGCGCAAGCCUGAUCCAGCAAUGCCGCGUGCAGGAAGAAGGCCUUCGGGUUGUAAACUGCUUUUGUACGGAGCGAAAAGGCUCUCUCUAAUACGGAGGGCUCAUGACGGUACCGUAAGAAUAAGCACCGGCUAACUACGUGCCAGCCGCCGCCGUAAUAC
rnacentral:rRNA from 1 species